CAGGUUUUUAAGUGGAAAGACUUUUCUGUUUCUCUUAGGUACAUACAUAGAAAUUGUUUAACAUUUGAGGAACUGCCAGACUGUUUUCCAAAGUGGCUGCACCAUUUUACAUCGCAACCAGCAGUGUAUGAGGAUUCCAAUUUACUCACAUUUUCGUUAACACGGGGAAAAAAGAGUGACUAGGAGAUGAAUAAUCUUGGAAUCAAUCACAGGAUAAGCGUAUUUGAUGGCUGACUGGCAUCUGGUUAUCUUGGCAGCCGAGAUGUGAAUAGCUGAAGGUAAGCAGUCUAGUAAUGGGUACUUACUGAUUCUGGGCCCCAGGCUGAGCUAAGCAUUGUGGGAGGCUAACAAGCAGGAUGAGCCCUUUUCUGAUUAGGAUCUUAUAAACUAGAUGGAAGAGAUCUAGCUAAUACACAGGAAGCAAUUUAUGAACAAUCUUUCUAAUUCCCUGGCUAUCCAGCUUAAGGCUCUUCAAGUCAGUCCUCAUUAAAUAGUUAUGUAAUUAACUAAAAGAUAAUAUAGAAUCAGGGACUAAAUUCUGCAGCAUAGACUAUAAUCAUGGUGUGAUCUUGGGCAAGACAUUUCACCUUUCUGAGCUUCCGUUUAUUCAUCUCUAAGUGGGGACAAUAAUAAUGGCACCUCAAAGAGUUGUAAGGAACAGCAAAUGAGACGCUGGCUGUGCAAGUGUGCAUGUAACUAUCAGGACUCACAACUUCUCUGAAUGCAGGAACAGAGGCAGCAGGGAGGACUGGUGCAGACAUGGAGUUUGGAGUUACACAGAACUGACUGAAAAUUUAGCAUCUGUCUGCUUUUGGAUGAGUCCUUAUCUGUAAAACCUACUUCAUGAGACUGUUGGGUGGACUAUUUUAAGUGAGUAAAUAUAUACAAAGGACUGAACACAGGAGGAUCUUUUAGGUGAAGGAGGCAACAGGUGCAAAGCAUAAAAGUACAUGGUUCUCCCAGGAUGAGAGUAUGUGUUGGGAAGUAACGAAAACAUAGGACUGAGAAUACAAUGGGGAAGGGCUAAAAACCGAAUCAGGUAACUUCACCUGGGCCCAAUGGGAGGUCACUGAAGGACUUUAAUCAACAAUUAUUUUGUCUGAUGCUUAUUUCAGGCUUGAGAAAAGGCAACCUGCCACAUUGGAAAAAACCCUGUUAUGGUUAGUUUUAGCUCUGCCACUAGUUAGUUGGGUGUUUCAGACCAGUCAUUUAACCUCCCUGGGGCUUACCACCAGGUAAGUUCCUCCAAGUUUAUUUUGAGAAACAGUAAACUUCAAGAUGAUAGAUCUGGUCUUCCUAGUGGUGCCCCUGUCAGACUGCUGCCGAAGAUCAGAAAACAAAGACUUUGAUCAUCUGGGACUCAGGGCAAUUUUCUAACACCCACAGUCUUGGUGUUUUAGAACAUCUUUAAUGGGUUGUAGCAAAACAUGCGAGCAUACAUAGAUAACCAAUUCCAGUCCAAAGUGGUGCUGGGUGAAAUGUUUCAGAUUGUUCACGUGUCUUUCUGCAAUGUGACAG
rnacentral:lncRNA from 1 species